GAUAAUAUCGAAAUGGUUUCUCUCCACUGAUUUCUUUAAUACUCCAAUUCCAUCACUCUCUACAAGUUUUUUAUUUUCAUCAAAACUGAACAUUUUGUAUUAUUGCGGAACCAAGAAAAAACAAGAAUGUUACUCAUGAAUAAGCCUGGACCAUGAAUUUUAUAUUAUCCCCAAUCUUCUACCCAGAAGAUGAACACUCAGGAACCUCAAGUGAAAUUCAAUCCACAAAAUAAUUUAAUCUAUGAACAGCGUCGUUGUGGUAAAUUUGACACUGUAUUUGAUUUGGUAGCGGAUAAUUCAGAGGGAUUAUAAGCAAAUCUGUUUGAGUUACAAUAUCAUUAAAUAUUGAGGAGAUAGUGUUUGAUGAAAGUCUCCAGCGAAAUGAGUUUGAAUUACAAUGCCAAUUUUGACAUCUGAAGUUUGUUGUAACUGAUGAUAAAUCUGUUUUACCAUGAGAUUUUCAAUGUCUCUUCAACCAGCCAUCUUUAGUCGAUUUUGGGAUCUAGCAAUGUGUGAGUGCAUAAAAAAUGGCUUAUCCACUUGUUAUUGGUUCGAAGCAUUUAUCUCAGUUCAUUCUCUUCGAUCGUGUUCCGGCAUAGAUAAGCAAUGUGGUAAUCUUUUGUACGUGCUGGAAUUUGACGAGAAUGGUGCAUGUGUUGGUGCUAGUCUUGCUUUUGGGGCUCAAGCUGGUGGUGUCAUAAUUGUUGGCCAUGGUGAGACCUUUCUUCUUAGAGAUGCCCGCAGGAAAUGCAUGUGGUGCUUUGAGUUUGUUUUCAUGAGGCAGUCCGCUAUCAGUGUACAGACUCGUCGUAGGUACUUCCUAUUAUUUCCUGUCAUUUAAGACAUGCUAGCAUACUUUGCACAUCUGAAUGCUCUUACUCUAUGACUAAAGGGUGGGAUCUUACAUUAGUGAGAUAAUUGAACAUCGAAUUGCUGGUGUAAUUAUUAGUGAUAUAUUCUCAUUCCUUGCAAGGCUUACAUUGAGUGUGGAUAUACUCUGAUUGCAAUGUAUCAGAGGACAGUUGUCUGAUUGUCGCACGGUUUUGGAUAGAAUACCAAGGAAUGUGUUGUUUGUUGGAUUGGACAGAUAGAGGCUUAUGAACGAGUAUUCAAUUUGUUCUUCUUAAUACAACAUGGAUACGUUAUACUCUUGAUAGUCAUUUGCAAUGCAAAUCCGUUCAUUGAUAUGGAUUCCAUUUGUGGGGGUUCUGCUAUGUUCAAUGCUUGUCACUUUCUUCUGAUGGUUUCUCUCAAGAACAAGACUUCUUCCUUGACUUUCAUUCCUUGUGCUAUUGUAAUACUUAAGAAAUACAAUAUUGGUACAUGGAUAGCUACAAAAUGUGCAGCUUAUUCAAGUACUAACUUACAACUGAGUGAAAUUGUCAAGAUAACUUACAGGGACAAAGCUUAUUAGUACUGGUGUCGCAACAUAUGAACUCACCCGACCAGAUUUGUGGAUGGCGACAACCAAUCUUGCUGGCCCUUUAGAUUUACUUUUACUGCUUACUCUUAUGUAGGGUGUUCCCCAGCUAUGCCUCUGCAUUUAACAGUAUUAUGACAUUAUUCCUUGCUCAAGACGUUGCCUUCAGUCAACAUGUGCCAGUUGGCUCCUCCUAUAUCGCGUGAGAAAUUCACUUCUUCUAUGACACUUGGUUUGGGCUACUUGGCUUGCUUGCUGAAAGGAGGUACUUCAGGAAUUCUUCAAGUGCACACAACUGAUCUUGAAGGACGUUAGGAACAAACAAAGCAGUUGGUCAACACACAUUUUGAUCACUUUGUACCUUGCGAAACAAUGAUUUAUUAUAUACAAGAGUUCAGCUUACUUUUCACUGUGCAUUUGAGUUGCUAUGCGCAAGUUUGAUGCAGAAAAUGUUUCCGAGGUUAUGAAUAUUACUUCACUUCCCUAACCCAUGAGUGCAUUCAUAACGGUGUAUAUGGCUUUAUAGUAAGGGAGCACAACAAAGUAGAGUCAAAUAUUUUGCCCCUUCUCAUAUGUUAAUACUACCAUGUGGCCAUUAGGAGAGUGACAAAAUAAUGCAAGCAUCUACAAAUCUCUGUGAGCCUACCGGAGCCAAUGUUGUAGCAGUAGCAGGCUACAAGACUCUUCUUAUGGAAUUGUUUUGUAGGGUAUUGCUAAGGAGAUUCUUUGGACACCAAAGUAGUGUCCCAAGGUCUAUCACGGAUUCAUAGAAUGUGAGGAAGUUCUUUGCCUAUGUUCAGUCUGACAAUGAUGUUGGUGAUUUAGGCUUUACUACCGAACCUUGAGGACAAGGAUCUUAUUAGGGCUUGAGGUAUUGUCAUGAAUGAGUCUGUACCGGUAUUGACAAAGCAGCCCACCAAUACCAUAUUAAGUGGCUCUGUUUGGGUUCCGAGUUGAUAUAUAGAUACUUGUGGGAGCAAAAUAGGUUUAUGCGAAUAUUGGUGGAGUGUCAGUAUCUCCUCAUUCCCGUUCUAUCUGUUAUUCUCACCCCCCUUUUUUAGUCUACGCUUCUCAUCUCCCUUCUAUCCUUUGUUACAAUUCCUUGUUAUCCUUUCAACUACCUUGUUGAUCUUUAGCUUUCCAUUGUAAUAGUUAGUUUGAGCAUUCAAUCAAAGGAAUUGAUUCCUUGUAGUUGAGCAUUUAAGUGUUCACUUCAGAAGAUCUAUCAAGAAUGGUUCAGUUUCGCUAAUUCAGAUGUAGAUGAAAGCCUCACUGGAGGAGAUGCCACCAAGCUAUUUGCCAUGUCCAAUUUGCCUCGUCAAGAGCUCAAGCAGGUUCUUUUCUUUUCUACUUCCUUUAUUUCCUUAAUAUCGUUCACUUGUACCCAAUAACCCCAUUAUUCGAGUGAGCCGUUAUUUUCUUAGAUAGUGUAUAUAUGGUCAAAAUUAAUUUAUUAUAUGGCAGAUCUUGAAUCCUCUUGACUCCUUCGUAUGCUUGCAUCUUUAUAUUUUGAAUCUCCCUAUUGAAAAUCCUGUCUCCGCCAUUGCAUGCACCUGUCUAGAAACCUUGUUUUAAUGUUUGUCAAUGCUUUGGCAAGAGCUCAAGUGCAGUAUGUGCUUUGUCUCAAGUUUGUAACACCGACAGCCAAUUAAAUAAUUUGAAAAAAAUGAAUAUAACUUAAAUAAUAUGGUGAAACUGGCUGCUGGGUGAAAAUAACACCUUCUUUUAUACA